GCGGGUGUAGUUCAAGGGCAGAACGGCAGCUUCCCAAGCUUCAUACGAGGGUUCGAUUCCCUUCACCCGCUCCA
rnacentral:tRNA from 1 species